rnacentral:tRNA from 1 species
CAGGGAGACAACAGAAUGUUUAAUAUUAUUUUGUCACCUUAGGUCGAUCGGUACCUCACGUUCUUAAUUUAUUAAGAAUUUUAUUUCCUAAGUUUUUCUAGGUCACACCCAUUAUUUUUCCUGGGCCAUUAGCUCAGGUGGUUAGAGCGCACCCCUGAUAAGGGUGAGGUCCCUGGUUCAAGUCCAGGAUGGCCCAUAUCUCUAUGUUGGGGGUAUAGCUCAGUUGGUAGAGCGCCUGCUUUGCAAGCAGGAUGUCAGCGGUUCGAGUCCGCUUACCUCCACUGAUUACCACCUCUUCCAUAGUUCUGUAAAAAGGAAAUGUUUUGAGUUGUGAUCAAAUUCUGAACGAAUCUAGCUUCCUAAUGAAAUCAUUAAGAUGCUGGACUCAUUGAAUUAAUUUCAUUGUUUUCAGAGAACCUUGACAACUGCAUAGAUUAUUUUUAAAGACAAUAAGCAUCUUUAAUGAUGCAGAUUUAUUAUUUGUGCUAAUGCAUUAAUAACAAUUCUAUUAAGCUGAUGCUUCAAUUACGAAGUUAUU